UAAUACGUAGGGGGCAAGCGUUGUCCGGAAUCAUUGGGCGUAAAGCGCGCGCAGGCGGUUUCUUAAGUCUGGUGUCUAAGUGCGGGGCUCAACCCCGUGAUGCACUGGAAACUGGGAGACUUGAGUGCAGAAGAGGAGAGCGGAAUUCCACGUGUAGCGGUGAAAUGCGUAGAGAUGUGGAGGAACACCAGUGGCGAAGGCGGCUCUCUGGACUGUAACUGACGCUGAGGCGCGAAAGCGUGGGGAGCAAACAGGAUUAGAUACCCUGGUAGUCCACGCCGUAAACGAUGAGUGCUAGGUGUUGGGGGGGUCCACCCCUCGGUGCCGAAGUAAACACAUUAAGCACUCCGCCUGGGGAGUACGGUCGCAAGACUGAA
rnacentral:rRNA from 1 species